rnacentral:rRNA from 1 species
GGAAUAAUUGGGGAGUGGGAGUAAAAUAUUAUUCUUGUAGUGCCACCACCUGCCGCGAAGGUGAAAGUAUCAAAAAGGACCAGUAAUAAAGGAAGAGAGGUAGGGGAGCGGAAAAGAUUAGAUUACCAUGUAGUCCCAGCAAAAUUAAUAUAUUUAGUUAUGAGGUAAGUGCAACGUUUAGGUACGAAAAGAAAAAAAAAAAAAACCCCCCCGGGAGGGACGCUUUCAAGAAGAAAAAAAUAAAAGUAUUGGGGGGGGCACCACCUUCUUUUUCCCCUCUUUUUUUUUUUAUUCAAAACGGGGAUUUCCCUCAAAAAUCCACACAAAUAAACGACGGGGUUGAUAUC